GAGCCCAUCUAACCAUUGGGCAUGAGGACAACCCAGAUUCUGCUUGGCUCAAUUUCAAAACUGAGAGAACACACUCAGGUACUUGAUGUCAUGUGUGGGCAAAAAUGCAGAGUGGUACCACCAGUCACCUUAACCAUCUUUUCCCUCACAGACAAGAGACUCGUGCGGACAGUGGCUGCAGUUUCCAGAUAAGCACUCACCUGUAGCCUUAGGAACUUCAGAUACUGCCAAGGGCGUAGUUCCGGGCUGCUUUUCCAGCCAUGUGGAAUCAACGUCUCCAGCUGAACUAGAGCUAGGAAUAAAAUAAGACUUCUAAGCAGCAC